GACGAACGCUGGCGGCGUGCUUAACACAUGCAAGUCGAACGGGCCCGCCCCUGUUUUUGGGGGUGGGUUGAGUGGCGAACGGGUGAGUAUCACGUGAGUAACCUGCCCCCUGCUCCUGGAUAACUGCUUGAAAGGGCGGCUAAUACGGGGUGUGCCGGCUGGUCCGCAUGGGCCUGGUCGGGAUAGUUUCAUCUUCGGGUGUUUCGGCGGGGGAUGGGCUCGCGGCCUAUCAGCUUGUUGGCGGGGUGAUGGCCCACCAAGGCGGUGACGGGUAGCCUGCGUGGGAGGGUGGGCGGCCACGCUGGGACUGAGGCACCGCCCAGCCUCCUGCGGGAGGCAGCAGUGGGGGGUAUUGCACAAUGGGCGGAAGCCUGAUGCAGCGACGUCGCGUGAGGGAUGGCGGCCUUCGGGUUGUGAACCUCUUUCUCCGGUGGUGAAGGCCCUGUCCGUUGCGGCGGGGUUGACGGUAGCCGGGUAUGAAGCGCCGGCUAACUACGUG
rnacentral:rRNA from 1 species